ACCAGGCAUUGGGGAAACGCAAGCUGCAAAUUCUAAAUCCUGACUAACUUUUGGGAAAUAGUAGGAAUUUUAAAUGUAAAUAAUCCCAAAAGAAAUUAAGCUUAAAAUGUUCUUAAUAUGUUCUGAACCACUAGAACACUAAAGUCAUAGAUAUUGUAAAACAGCAUGACAACAUUUUAUAUGGGAAAAGGGCAUGAUAGGAUGGGGUUAGGAGCUCUGAAUUCUGCUCUAUAUUGAUUAACUACCUCUUCAUGGGGGACUGACUCAAAUUUUUUAAGCCUCUAUUUCUCCUCCAGUUAGAAAGUAAAAUGGAAGUGGAACCCAGUGACCUGGUUUCAUCAACAAAUCAAUGGCAUCAACUUCACUUACCACCAUGACCAACAAUAACAAACAUGGGUGAGGGUGGGGUAUGGUUCAGUUCAGUUCAGUUGCUCAGUCGUGUCCGACUCUUUGCGACGCCAUGAACUGGCUGAAGGGAACUAGAAACUCAAGCAGCUUCAGAAUGUGAGCAAGACCAAGAGCAGGGCUGAUGGCUGAUAGCCCUUGAUAGCCCUCAAGGUUGUGAGGAACUGAGUCACAACGAGACUGAGAUGCAAGCAAAGAAUGAGAUAAGACUCUGAGAUCUCUGAGAAAUUCUCUUUGGAAGGAAAUGGACAUACUAGCAGAGCACAAAAAUGCCUAAUUUGAAUUCUGUUCUCUAAUUCCUAACUCCCACUUCACACAUACAAGUCCAUAUAUGCUCCUUAACGGUUAGGUUUGUCCCAUGACUGUCAGACCCUUUAAAAAUACAGGCAUUUCUAUUUUUAUAAUGAUUAUUUCUGCUUAUGAAAUACAGAAAAGUUAGAACACACAGACAUGUGUAAAAAAGAAAAUAAGUCAACCCUAUCCAUGAUUCAAAGCUAUUACUACACAUCUGAAAAAAUUGUAGCCUUUCAUCUUAUGUGAGUGUGAGGGAUUCAUGUGUUUAUAAUAUCAUGGGAUUGGAAUAUUUGUAUCCUGUUUUUUCAACUUAUGCUUUAU
rnacentral:lncRNA from 1 species